CCUACGGGAGGCAGCAGUAAGGAAUAUUGGUCAAUGGACGAAAGUCUGAACCAGCCAUGCCGCGUGAAGGAUGAAGGCCCUCUGGGUUGUAAACUUCUUUUAUAGGGGACGAAAAAAGGGAAUUCCUUCCCACUUGACGGUACCCUAGGAAUAAGCACCGGCUAACUCCGUGCCAGCAGCCGCGGUAAUACGGAGGGUGCAAGCGUUAUCCGGAUUCACUGGGUUUAAAGGGUGCGUAGGUGGGCAGUUAAGUCAGUGGUGAAAUCUCCGGGCUUAACCCGGAAACUGCCAUUGAUACUAUCUGUCUUGAAUAUCCUGGAGGUGAGCGGAAUAUGUCAUGUAGCGGUGAAAUGCUUAGAUAUGACAUAGAACACCGAUUGCGAAGGCAGCUCGCUACGGGAUUAUUGACACUGAGGCACGAAAGCGUGGGGAUCAAACAGGAUUAGAUACCCUGGUAGUCCACGCCCUAAACGAUGGAUACUCGACAUCAGCGAUACACUGUUGGUGUCUGAGCGAAAGCAUUAAGUAUCCCACCUGGGAAGUACGACCGCAAGGUUGAAACUCAAAUGAAUUGACGG
rnacentral:rRNA from 1 species